GUUUGAGAGUAGCAGUUCCCAGCAGUUUCAAGAGGAAAGCACAGAAAUACCUAUCCUGCUAGAAUGUUAUCAAGAAAAGGGAGGGCCUCAGAAGGUCCCAAUGCCUUUAUCACAAAUGCUUGGGAAUUAAGGCAGUCAUUAGCUGAGAGAUUAAAGCUGGGUUAUAAUUCUAGCAGCUGUACUCUGACCUUUUCUUGCUGACAACUUACCUGCAACACUCUGCUUCAUAUCUCUGGCUCCUGUACUCCUUGUGAGUGUGUAAGGAUGGCUGCCUUGGGAGAAGCCAGAGCUUGAUGAAGUUACCUUCAUGGAUUACAACCAGCUGCUUGGAGUCUUCCAUGAGCUGCAGUUCAAAUGGCAAUUUUCCAAAGGCAUCUGGCAGCUGCACUUGAUGAACUUCAGAGGUUUUACUUACCCCAUUUAUAUUUUCAAGAAGGAACGACUAUGGCCUGAAUAUUUCUUUUUCCUUGAAAAAAGAAAAUGUGGUUUUAACCACUAAUCACCACUAAUGGAAGAUGCACUUUGCUAUUCCUGACUACAAUGACAUGAAAAAUUUUCAAGGGAAGUCAAUAUUAGAUCAAUUUAAGAAAGGCACUCAGGAGGGUGUAAAAGGCACCCAACAGAGUUUUAUUGUGUAGUACUUUAAGUACUAUGGUUGACUGGGGAGCAUUUAAGGCUAUUUGCCUUUGACCUAUGAAGACUUUUAAGUGGAGAAAGAGAACUUUGCAACAGGUACAGUCUUUCUACAUUAAUUUUCUGAUGCACCAUCUUUCUAGAGGACAUCAGGAAAAAUGUUUAAAGUUAAUGGAGGGCAUGCUGCGGCAAUGUGUAUCAUGUGCAUCACACUGGAGAGAAGCUGCCAUGGGAUGACACUUCCUAGAAACUACUGCAGUUAAGUAGAUAUAUUCAAGGCAGGUUUUAUGCAGCCAAAGACCAAAGAACUUUGAUAACAGUUUGCAGAAAUAGUCAGGGCAAACAUUUGUACUGAUGACAAACAUCUACACUGAUCACAGACUAUUUCAUUUAAUUGUAAAAAACAAAACAAUAACCCUAACAUAAAAAGUAAACUGCAUAUUUCUGAUGAUCUCUGAAAAGUUGGGGUGUACCAGAAUUCUGCUUUUUCUCUCAUUUUAUUUAAUGUGUGUCUCCAUGCCAGUGUAGGUGACCCGGCAGUGACUAUAUCAUCUGCUUUUCAAGCUGGCAUUGUUAGAAAAUGGAACACACACUGCUGCAAAUGUAAUUUUCAUCCCAGGCCAGGAAUCAUAGAAUCAUAGGAAAGGAGACAUGGCAUCCGAAAAGUGCAUAGGACACAGAGGCUCUUGGUUCAAUGCAUUUCAAAAUACUCUUCCUUAGGGCCCAUAGACAGGUUCAUAAUAAUGAACUCUGGUUUAGUACAAGGUGAACAAUAUACAUAGUCAUGCCCAUUCCCCUCCUCACUUCCUGGCACAGGUUUAAAGAGAAGAUUCAUUUCCAUAGUCUUUCGUUGUGUACAAACCAGGAUUAGCUAUGAUUAGUUGCAAUUGUGAGAUUGUCAAAGCAUGUUGAAUUAAAUUAGGGUUUAUGAUCCUGGCUUAUUUCGCUAAACCAUAAUUCAAGUUAAAAGCAAUUCAUAGUCCAAAUCAAAAAGAAAUAAAAGUAAUAGAAAGGGACAACAGGGGUUCUGGUGUCCUCUUAGAGCACAUCUACACUGACACUGUAAUGCAGCUUGAAAUCAAUUUUGGUGGAACCGGUUUU
rnacentral:lncRNA from 11 species